rnacentral:rRNA from 1 species
AAUCAACGCUGGCGGCGUGCCUCAGACAUGCAAGUCGAACGAUUAAAGCUCUCUUCGGAGAGUGCACAAAGUGGCGCACGGGUGAGUAACACGUAAGUAAUCUACCUUCGAGUGGGGAAUAACGUCCGGAAACGGACGCUAAUACCGCAUAAUGCAGCGGCACCUAAUGGUGACAGUUGUUAAAGAAUUUAUUCGCUUGAAGAGGAGCUUGCGGCAGAUUAGCUAGUUGGUAAGGUAAUGGCUUACCAAGGCUUCGAUCUGUAACCGGUCUAAGAGGACAGUCGGUCACACUGACACUGAAUAACGGGUCAGACUCCUACGGGAGGCAGCAGUCGGGAAUUUUGGGCAAUGGGCGAAAGCCUGACCCAGUAACGCCGCGUGAAGGAUGAAGUAUUUCGGUAUGUAAACUUCGAAAGAAUGGGAAGAAUCAAUGACGGUACCAUUUAUAAGGUCCGGCUAACUACGUGCCAGCCGCCGCGGUAA